UGGGGAAUAUUGCACAAUGGGCGCAAGCCUGAUGCAGCCAUGCCGCGUGUGUGAAGAAGGCCUUCGGGUUGUAAAGCACUUUCAGCGAGGAGGAAGGUGGUGGACUUAAUACGUUCAUCAAUUGACGUUACUCGCAGAAGAAGCACCGGCUAACUCCGUGCCAGCAGCCGCGGUAANUACGGAGGGUGCAAGCGUUAAUCGGAAUUACUGGGCGUAAAGCGCACGCAGGCGGUUUGUUAAGUCAGAUGUGAAAUCCCCGGGCUCAACCUGGGAACUGCAUUUGAAACUGGCAAGCUAGAGUCUCGUAGAGGGGGGUAGAAUUCCAGGUGUAGCGGUGAAAUGCGUAGAGAUCUGGAGGAAUACCGGUGGCGAAGGCGGCCCCCUGGACGAAGACUGACGCUCAGGUGCGAAAGCGUGGGGAGCAAAACAGGAUUAGAUACCCGUGGUAGUCCACGCUGUAAACGAUGUCGAUUUGGAGGUUGUGCCCUUGAGGCGUGGCUUCCGGAGCUAACGCGUUAAAUCGACCGCCUGGGGAGUACGGCCGCAAGGUUAAAACUCAAAUGAAUUGACGGGGUCAUACU
rnacentral:rRNA from 1 species